rnacentral:rRNA from 1 species
CGGUGAAUACGUUCCCGGACCUUGCACACACCGCCCGUCAAGCCAUGGAAGCCGGGUGUACCUAAAGUCGGUAACCGCAAGGACGCCGCCUAGGGUAAAACUGGUGGCUGGGGCU